AAAUAUGUUAAUUUACAGGGACAAAUUGAAGGUCUGUAGAGUACGCAAUUUUGGAGUGGUUUUAUUUCGUGGUCUUUCUGAACUUUUUGUCUAGGAAUUGGGGUUACAUAUCUUCAGGCCGAGAAGAAUUAAAUCGAGCUUACAGACCGAGGAUCUAGCUCAAGACAGUAGAGAUUGAGUUCCCAGUGCCUGAUAGACUGACUUAGUCUGCUAAAGCUCCAAUAUCGAUUGCUUGUACGUGGUUAGAGUUGUACAUAGAGUCUGUUGUGUUAUGUUGUAUAUUUCUUUGUACGAUAUAAAUACUCUAUAGUUUGUGUAAGCUCUAGGAGUUGCGGUUGUGUAAACCUUUGUUGGUUAUGUUUUGGUUAAGGUGUCUCCAGGUUUACUUGCGAAAUCAUUUA